rnacentral:rRNA from 1 species
UACGGGGGGAGCAAGCGUUGUUCGGAUUUACUGGGCGUAAAGGGCGCGUAGGCGGCCAGCGCAAGUCGGCUGUGAAAUCUCCGGGCUUAACCCGGAAAGGUCAGCUGAUACUGCGGGGCUAGAGUGCAGAAGGGGCAACUGGAAUUCUCGGUGUAGCGGUGAAAUGCGUAGAUAUCGGGAGGAACACCUGCGGCGAAGGCGAGUUGCUGGGCUGACACUGACGCUGAUGUGCGAAAGCUAGGGGAGCGAACGGG